UGAUCCUGGCUCAGGACGAACGCUGGCGGCGUGCCUAAUACAUGCAAGUCGAACGAGCUCUCCCAAAUUGAUUUUAUGCUUGCAUAAAUGAUUUUUGGAUUCGGAGCGAGUGGCGAACUGGUGAGUAACACGUGGGUAACCUGCCCCGAAGCGGGGGAUAACAUUUGGAAACAAAUGCUAAUACCGCAUAAUUAGUUGGAACCGCAUGGUUCCAACUUGAAAGAUGGCUCUGCUAUCACUUUGGGAUGGACCCGCGCCGUAUUAGUUAGUUGGUGAGAUAAAAGCCCACCAAGACGAUGAUACGUAGCCGACCUGAGAGGGUAAUCGGCCACAUUGGGACUGAGACACGGCCCAGACUCCUACGGGAGGCAGCAGUAGGGAAUCUUCCACAAUGGACGAAAGUCUGAUGGAGCAACGCCGCGUGAGUGAUGAAGGGUUUCGGCUCGUAAAACUCUGUUGUUAAAGAAGAACAAGUGUUAGAGUAACUGUUAACACUUUGACGGUAUUUAACCAGAAAGCCACGGCUAACUACGU
rnacentral:rRNA from 2 species